UAGCUCAGAGGUUAAAGCGUCUGCCUGCAAUGCAGGAGACCCGGGUUCGAUCCCUGG
rnacentral:tRNA from 1 species